CAGUAAACAGUCCUUGGAAAAUGAGAUGCUUUAUGAUUUGGGAAGGUAUGAAAUUACUGGAAAGAAAAAAUAAGGCUACAAUAGUGUUAGGAGAGAGGAUUGAGAGGAUUCCAGGAGAUAGAUGGAAAACUAAAAAUGUGAGAAGCCAGAGAAUGAAAGACAGAGAGAGAUGGAAAGGGAAUUAUUAGGAAUUGAAGGAGAAUGUCACGCAAAGUAUCUAGGAACAAGAGUCUACCAGAGCAAUGGAGACAUUACUUCACUUACUAUUUCCAGUUCUCCAGGCCACUAGGAGUCACUUCAGGAGCAGUCUGGUUUUGGAGUUCAGCACAGCCUCGUUAGACAGGAAUAGUCAUAUCCCUAUUACGUCUGCACUUGUGAAAACCUGGGCUCUAGGAGAAGAAUAACUGGCCCAAGAUCAUGCAGUUAAUUUAGAGUCAGAAGUAAAAUGCAGACCUGUCUUUCUCAAAACCCACGUUAAAAG